CUAAAACACAAGAAGUCCAUGCUAAGAUGUAUUUAAAGCAGGCAAGGAGGAUGAUCUCAUUUUUAAAACAGUGAGCUGCGAUCAGGAGCUGCAGCUUCAUUUCCUAGCCCUGCCAAGCCUCCGUGCUUAGCCUGGACAAGCCACUUCCUCAGCCUUCACUGGUAGAUCAGAGGAGCAGAGAAUUGGCUACCAGUGACUAUCAGCUGCCACAGAACACGGGGUUCUCCCUUUGUGCACAAACACCCUUUGAUAUGGUGCUUCUGCCAUAGCCUGGAUUGUUGUUUGCAAGCAGAAUUCACUUUCCUUGUGAGGAAACAAGUCUCCCGUGCCUUUGCGUGUCUGUCAGGAAGUGAAACUGCCUCAGUGUUCUUCCGAGCGUCCUGCCCUGAAUUUCUGAACAACUGGGAGUCAGUGGAGGACCUUCCCAAGCAUGUUCUAUGGCACCUGAGCCUUUGUACUUCGCCCUGCUGUUCCACUAACUGUGUGCCACACUCACUGAGAACGACGGAGGUCCACAGUGCCUAACACAAGAAGUGCCUGCAUUUGUGUAUGUGUCAUCACAUUUUUACAACUGCAUAUCACUAUGUUUGACAGCAUAUAUCAGUAUGUGCACCUGUUUAACUGUAUUUGUGCUUGCCCUUUUUCUUGGCUUUGCGUGAGAUUCUGUGAACAGAUCCUUCUCCAUGCUUUUCCAUGACAGAAGUGCAUCUUUUUUUCUGGGUAAGUACAUCAGCGUAAGAAGUGUCCUUCUGAUGUUCAUCUUGCUCUUCAUAUGUUCCCUUGUACUCGUGCUGGAGUGCUCACGCAGGCGUCUUUCAGCACAGUUGUGCCUCGAUAUUUGUUCUGAGCUGUGUGUCUUUUCCUGUCCAUUUAAUUCACUGGCUCUGGCUGCACGCUUCUCUCUGUAUUUUCUUGCUGUUUCCCCCAUGCCGUUACCUGGGUUUGUGCAUGCAUGUGCCUCCCAGUUUUUAUUGUCCGAGGGUUGGUUUUUUGACGGGGUGGGUAGUGCUAAGAUUGUUUGUCAUUUUGCUUUGUAUUUAUCUCUUUUCCCUAUGUUUGCAUAAAGUAGAUGCAGACUACAAUUUGGCGGUGAAUUCUAUGAAUACUAAUCUUAGGCUACCCUUGACCCCGAGGUCAGCUAAAGAUCAAAAACAAACCAUUUAAUAUUUUCCUUUUGCAGAUCAAUAGAAGCAUAAAUUCACUCUCAAUGACAACCAUAAUUUCAAACAGAUCUAUAAGAGGCAUGCAUGCAUUUCCAGGAGGAGCCACUCGCGCCUGUUGGGGAGCACAAGAAAAAGAGUUUCUGUGUUGUUGUGCGGUUGGUUUGUUGGUUUUGUGUGUGUGUGUGUGUUGUUUUUUUACCAUUGAAUCUCUUUUGCCCUUUUUUUUUUUUUAUUGCUCUGAAAUGCUAUUUUCAGCAGCUGCUGUCAUAUAAAUAUCUCUUGUUUUUCUUCUCCUCUUUCCCUCCUGGUGAAAAGGGCAGGGGACCUAUUGAAAAUUCUGCUUUAUCUCUUUCAGGAGAGUUCAAGUGCGGGUCGAACAAUCGAUUCCUCCUCCUUUUCUUUUUUAAGUUUCCUGUCGUUCUUUUGCCCAGAUCAGCACUGAAGGAAAAUAGGAAGGGCAGCCUGGAGUGUGCACGUCUGUACAGCCAGAGACAGAACGCACGGCUGCGUCUGUGUGAGCACACGCAGGAUUUCAUACGUACACAAACACGUACACACACACACACACACACACACGUAUGUUUGGUCCUGCCUGUCUGUGUGCACCAAACACUGCGGCGUUCUUACAGGACACGUAUUUCAGAGACGGGAAUAAAGCUGGGAAGUGGGAAAAGUUUGGAAGCACUGCUCGGUUCCAAGCCGGACUAUUAACCCUUCCCAACAUUCUCCCCCAGGAACUGCAAAAGCUUUGAAGGAAAUGCUGUAAGAUCCCAGACAGUUCCUACAAUUUUCCACGUGGGGAGAAAGGAGGGUUAUUCUGCGAGCAGCAUUGUUCCAGCACCAUAAAUUCAGCUGAUUAUCCACAAUCCUUACGGCUGCGUUUAGUCUCAUAAAGACCGGGGAAAAUAACAACAAAAACCCAGAAAACGAGAGAAAUUCCCAUCCUGCGUUUUCUGGCAGGAAAUCUGACAGGAUCGUCACAACUCAAAGGAAAGAAUGCGUGUAAACUGGGCUCUGAUUGGAAACACGGCAGGCAGGCAGAGCAGGCAGCGCAGCAGUUCGUUCUGUGCAACUUUGACAGAGGUUUCCAAGAGAGAUGCUCUGAUCUGACGAGCAUCCUCUGGGGCUGCGAGUUGGAACUUUGUGACGCUGGGAACCCAAAUGUGUGCGAGAUGGGCGCUAUUUUGCUGUGAUUCUGCAGAAGGAGCACGGAGACGCUGCCUGUCUGGAGUCCCAUAAAACAGAUCUUUUCCCUGUCAUUAAGAAUAUUGAUGUUCAUUAGGCCCGGGCGUCAAUGAGUCUUUGUGCAAAUGAAACGAAAUCUGAGUCAAAUUGUGACCCUGAGUCCAACACGGAACUGCUCAUCGGCUGCACUCAGGGGUGGGGGAUCAGAGGUUCCCCGGCACCAAAAAUCCACCUCCCCAACUAUGAGACAAAAACCUCCCUGCGGCCACAACCGCGGAGCCGAAGGAAACCUCGAGCCCCCCGCCCCAAACCACCCUGCUCACAACGUCCCUUCUGAUAAAGGUGCUACUUUUAGCAGCCUCUCAAGGUGAGAUCCCCCAUGGAAGACAGGGGCUGCCCCAGCUCCCGGCACAGCAUUCUGCAGGUAAAGCUCCUUCCUUUGAAUGUGCUGCGAGGGCCCUUCUCCCGCUGCCGUGAGUCUGAGGCUGAUGUUCCUGCUGUACAAACUCGGGGCUAAUAAAGCAAGCUCGAGCCUCGUAAUUCACAGCAAGGCGCUUUGACGGAGCACUUUCAGUGUUAACAGUGUGACGGGCGCUUUUUGGAGCUAAUGUCUCACUGAUAUUAACGGCCGUGCCCACGGAGCAAAAUCUGCAAUGUAAAAGCGAGUGGCUUGCUAAAUAUUUACAAGCUCGCACAUCUUGCUGUCCCAUUCAUUUCCUUGACCUUUCAUGCAGGGGGAUGGGGAUGGAGAAGGAGAUGCCGGGGAAUGGUCCCUCCAGAGGUACAAACGCGCUGCAGCCAAAUUGGCUCCCCGGCCUCAGAUAGCAAGACCUUGAGCCGUGGCUCCGCUCCGUUCUGCCAGCAGUUCAUCAAAUUAAAUCAAGAAAAGCUACCGCGGGCAGCGGGCAGGUUGGGGCCAGAACUUUCAGAAGAGGGAUGGAGGAAUGCCUCCUGAAAGGAGAACGGAGGUCUGUCUGCGCUGGGGCCGCUCAGAUCUCAGGGCGCGCUGAUUCGAGGCACAGCUGCUCCCAGAGGAAGGCAGCGUUCCCCAGGAAUCAGAGCCAGGAACGUAUCAAGGAGACUUCUCAGUUCUGCAUCCAGCUCUGCCGCUGACCUGCUGGCUGAUCUCAGACAAGUCGUUUCCCAUCUCCGCACCUCCGUUUCUCUGACAGUGUUUAAAAUAAAUUAAAAAAAAAA
ensembl:lncRNA